rnacentral:rRNA from 1 species
UCCUUCCGUAGGUGAACCUGCGGAAGGAUCAUUAUUGAUUUUGUGCACUUUGUGUAGACCUUUUAAAAGGUCUAUGUUUUUAUUACACACACUAUGUAUUGUGAAAGCAAUUGUAGGAAACAACUUUCAACAACGGAUCUCUUGGUUCUCGCAUCGAUGAAGAACGCAGCGAAAUGCGAUAAGUAAUGUGAAUUGCAGAAUUCAGUGAAUCAUCGAAUCUUUGAACGCACCUUGCACUCCUUAGUAUUCUGAGGAGUAUGCCUGUUUGAGUGUCAUUGGAAUAUUCUCAUUGAGAAAGUUGGGGUAUGCUUAUGGCUACUCUUAAAUGUAUAUAAAAGCUUCAAUUGGUACGAUUUAUUGAAGGCUUUACCUUUUGACACUUGACCUCAAAUCAGGUAGGACUACCCGCUGAACUUAAGCAUAUCAAUAAGCGGAG